rnacentral:lncRNA from 10 species
GUAUGGGGUACAUAAAAGGUAGACACUAAAUAUCCACAGAAUGAAUGGAUAAAUUUGGCUGACUUAGGAAAUUCUUUUUGGAAUAUUCUUAUGUAAUGUAGAUAGAAAAUAAUAAAAUUAUUCUUUAAGCUUUUCUUCACUGAGAUUGGUUAGUAAAUACUUCUUGAGAAUUUCUUUUUGUCAUUUUAGAUACUUAUGAAUUAGAAUUCUAUAAUAAAGACAUACGCAACAUUGUCUCUGAAUAGUAAAGCACACAAAGAUGCAGUAUUCCAGGUGGCUUUAAUAAUACCUUAUUUUGUAUACCUUUCUGCAUGCUGUAUACUGUCAAUGUAACAACAACAAAAAAGAUUUAUGUCAAUUGUGAGUAAAAACAAUGAUGGUAGUGGCUAAUGCUGUUCUCCCGAGUAGCUGGGACUACAGGCACACGCCACCACGCCCGGCUAAUUUUUUUUUUGUAUUUUUAGUAGAAACGGGGUUUCACCAUAUUGGUCAGGCUGGUCUUGAACUCCUGACCUCAGGUGAUCCAUGUGCCUCGGCCUCCCAAAGUGCUGGGAUUACAGGCGUGAGCCACCGUGCCUGGCCUAUUGUUACAAUUUUUAAGACAGGGUCUUACUCUGUCACCCAGGCUGGAGUGCAGUGGCAUGAUCACGACUCACUGCAGCCUUGACCUCCCUGGACUCAGGUGAUCCUGCCACCUCAGCCUUCCAAGUAGCUGAAACUACAGGUGUGUGCCACCAUGCCCAGCUAUUUUUUGUACUUUUUGUAGAGAUGGGGUUUUACCGUGUCGCCCAGACUGGUCUUGAACAUCUGGGCUCUAGCUAUCCACCUGCCUCAGCCUCCCAAAGUGCUGGGAUUACAGGUGUGAACCACUGCACCCGGCCUAUUGUUAUUAUUUUUUAAAUUAACAUCGUAUAUACAGGAAGUUUAGAUCAGUUCAAAUAUGAUAAUAUAUCGUAUAAUGAAAAUAGAUUGUUGGCUGGGCGUGCUGGUUUCCGCCUGUAAUCCCAGCACUUUGGGAGGCCGCGGCAGGUGGACUGCUUGAGUUCGUAAGUUCAAGACCAACCUGGGCAGUAUGGCGAAACCCCAUUUCUACAAAAAAAAUACAAAAAUUAGCCAGGUUGUGGUGGUGUGUGCCUGUAGUCUCA